rnacentral:rRNA from 1 species
UACGUAGGGGGCUAGCGUUGUCCGGAAUCAUUGGGCGUAAAGAGCGUGUAGGCGGCCCGGUAAGUCCGCUGUGAAAGUCGGGGGCUCAACCCUCGAAUGCCGGUGGAUACUGUCGGGCUAGAGUGCGGAAGAGGCGAGUGGAAUUCCUGGUGUAGCGGUGAAAUGCGCAGAUAUCGGGAGGAACACCUGUGGCGAAGGCGGCCCCCUGGUCGGAUACUGACGCUGAGACGCGAAAGCGUGGGGAGCAAACAGG